CUUGAAAUGAGGAACUCAAAAGUCACGUGUAAAGAAAAAAUCUCUGUGUAGUGAUAUUGGACAUGUUUCUAUUUUUAGCAAAUGACUGAACUUAAUUAUUUGUGGUGAUUAGGAAAGUAGAGGAACAUAGAAUAAAUGUGUAAAAACUAUAGAGCUAUUGAAUGUGUUCAAAGUAUUAAAUUUUCAAAGAACUUAUUGUGUUAAAAAGGGGAUAUUUUACCACAAGAAGCCGCAUCACAACAGGAUGUUCGGGGUUUGCUAAUUUACGGAAAAAGUAAUCUCACUUCGUACCCGAAAUUUAACCACAUAUGUGAAAAUGUCACAGCUUCGAAACAAGCUAUCAUACAUAUCCAAGUUAACGAUAUGGACUGAGCUACAGGAAAAAACGUUACCAUUACCGCCUAUGUAAAAACAAUUAAAGAUUUUGACCCAAAUUAGAAGCUCAAUUCCUGAAGUUGUCAGACUGAUUUAUGGAUGAUUUCACCUUGUACACCACCGAAAAUGAUGGUAAGUAGUUUUUUAUUCAUACCUAGAUAUCAUAAAUUGUUUAAGAUAAAUGUUAUUGAUAAAGAUCAGCAAAAACUCGAUAAAAAUUUCGCUUUUAAAAUGCAUUACUGGCACGGGGCUGAACACUUGUUUUAGGCACAAUCAUAAAUUUGUUUACUUCCGAGAGAUCCGAAAGGAAUUUGUUUACUACAUGGAAAAGGCAAGAAAUAACUUUUUAAUAUUAUUAAAUUGUAAGUAAACAUGACACAAUAUAGUCUUUUUUAUGUAAUAUCACUCUGGUCUACAGGAAUACCUGAUAAUCAAGGGAGAUAACACACUUCAUACGAGUAAUGUGAGAUUCUUCAUCGCAUGUGCUUUUAUCCAAUGAUUUGACCCCUGGUCAGUAGAUAUCAUAUGCACAAAAAAACAGACAAAAACAUUUACAUGUUUUAAGAAAAUCAUGAAUUAUUAUUUUUAAUGCACAUGAGCAAAACAAAAGAUAUUGUCAUUUCUCAGUGAAAAAGGGGGAGGGUCAAACCCUUCUUGAAAACAAUAUUUCUGCACUUAUUCAACUAUUAAGCUAGUUAGCUACUACCCUUGGUUCUAAUACAAAAGGUUUAAAUGAAGGUGGCUAAGCCACAAGGGAGAAGCAUUUGUCUUUCUUUGUGAUUAAACUUUCAAGAAUAGAUUUUUCUCUCUCAAUAAUACUUAUGUAUUUAAAUCAAAUGAUAACACAGCCUGAGUAUUUUUUUUGGUCUUAUUUCAGUUCCAGACAUAUCAUUAUUUUUCAACCUGAGAUGGCAAACUAGAGGUUUUAAAAAGUCCUGAAUAACUGGUAAGCAUUUUGUUUUAUUAGGCAAGCUCUAAAUUGUUUAUUUCUGGUAUUUAUGCAAUUGAAAUUACAGUCGGUAUGUUAAAAAUAUGCUAAUAUGAAAACUGUUGCUAUGGUCUUGGUAUUAAAUGAAAAGGCUUAGUUACAGAUCGUUUGGACUCAAUAUUUCAAGUUAAAUCUUGCGGCAACUGUUUCUCACGUAACACUGCAAACUAUAUUUAGCGCUAUUUUGAUCUGUCGUUAUUUAAUGACGCCAUAAUACAUGUGGUAUCACAAUGUUUCCGUUAAGACCUUAUGUGGAUUUCUCACUGAUAAAAGGUUUUCACUGAAAAACAUGUAAAAAACAUUUUUUCUCAAAUAGAAUUAUGUGCAAGGACAAGUUUUGAAAAUUUGCACUAUAUUGCACUCUAAUUAUAUGAUAUGGAUGACUUUCCCAGUAGUUUAGAGUGGUUUCAACAGUAUUAAAUACAAGAUUUCCACUAGUAAGAAUAAUUAUUUUGGUGUUGUUUUUUAUAAAACCUUCAGUUUUGCAUAAUUUCUCUGUCAAAAUGCACUUUAAGGCACAAGAAAAUUUUAUAGAAUGCUUUAUCAGGGUCUGUGUAUUGUAAUUAAAGAUUAUAAUCAGAAGUUUUGUCCUUGUUUUUAGUUUGUUACCCCGAUUUUGUUUUUUGUCCCUGGAUUUAUGAGUUUUGAACAGCGGUAUACUACUGUUGCCUUUAUUUGACUAGUGGAGGUAAUCUGGAAGAAAUUACUUAUACAUACUCAUUGUAUUCAAAAUAAAUGAAUAUAGCGACGAAAGUGUCAUUGCCUUAUAGUGCUAAAACAACUUUAUUUUUUUUCAGAAAUGGACAAAAAUACAAAGAUUUAUUCAGAAUAUUAUACCGAUGAAGAUCACAUAAAAAAUAUUUGGAAAAAUCAGAAGUAUGGAUUUCAAUAU
rnacentral:lncRNA from 1 species